UGAGUAACACGUAUCCAACCUGCCGUCUACUCUUGGCCAGCCUUCUGAAAGGAAGAUUAAUCCAGGAUGGCAUCAUGAGUUCACAUGUCCGCAUGAUUAAAGGUAUUUUCCGGUAGACGAUGGGGAUGCGUUCCAUUAGAUAGUAGGCGGGGUAACGGCCCACCUAGUCAACGAUGGAUAGGGGUUCUGAGAGGAAGGUCCCCACAUUGGAACUGAGACACGGUCCAA
rnacentral:rRNA from 1 species